AAAAAAUGAUGAUAGAGCAGCUUUUUCUUGUUACCCACCUCGGAAGAUCAAGUUGGAAAGGGCUAUUGAUAUUGUGGAGACGUUUUCUCACAGAGCUUGCUUAUCAGACAAAGACUAUUUAACUACAUCAGAAAGAUAAAGACAGUUGGAAUGGCUAUUCUUAUUGUGGAAACUUUUCUCAUGGAGCUCGAUAAUCAGGCAAAAUGCUGGAACACCAUUGAAAGAGUAUUUGCUGUAUGAUAACAACAAGAAAACCCAAGCAUCAAUUUAUUUUAUACUUCUGGGAAAGAAUGCAUUUGACCCAAUUUUUAAAUAUUUAUUUUUUGUUAUUAAUGUUAAAUUUUCUUCCAAAACACAAUUAGAUUUUAAUUCUCUUCAGAAAUGUAUGUAUAAUAUAGCAAGUAAAGUGACAUAUAAAUCACUUAGAAUUUGAUCAGAAAUCAUAAAGUAUUUAAUAGGCAUUACUAGAAACCAAAUGUAGAUCAAAUACACCCAGAAUUACAAAAAACCUUGACCUACAUAAAGGUGACUUUCCCUUGCUUAUGAAAUGAAAUACGGUUUAGUAUCCUACUUUUCUGUGUUCUUAGAGUGAUUCUGCCCUACACCCUACUCUUAUAUCAAAUAUUUCAACUGUCAAGGGUUCUUUAACGGGAACCCGGGGGGGGGGGGGGCAAUGAUUAACACGCACACAUUUGAUCAGGAAGUCUGUCAUUGAGUCAAAUAAUUCAAUUGUCAAGGGUUCUUCUAAGUGAACGCAGUG